AGGCGGCGCGCGCGGCGGGGCGGGCGCCACUCACCUGGGGGACCGGCCGCGGGCGGCGGGAGCCGGGAGCUCGGGCCCUGCCCGCCCCCUGGCCUGGAGUUUGAAAGGAGGACGCCCGGAAUGUGCGGAAUGAGGGCUGCUUGGUGCCUGGGAUAGAUAAGCACUUAAUCAAUGCUGAAUAAAUAGAAACCAAAAAAGCUACCACAGACUUGAAAAGAAAGUACUAUAGAUGACAAAGUUGUUUCCAAGAGAGAAGUGCUCCAAAGGUGUUUGGAGGGAUGACAGCAUCACUGGAUGAAGGAUCGCAUCUCAUAAGGCUUACGGUCAUUCUCAUGGACUAUCUGAAAGUUCUUCAACUGAUGCCUGAGUGACACGGCCAUGGAAGUUCAGGACGUAGGACUGCGUGUCAUCAUUCCAGGACUGGGGCCUUGUUGUGCAGUUCAAUCAAGUUCUCCAUGGUUUUGUUUUUGCCAUUUGGAAAGCAAGCUCUCGUGGUCCUGUUUGAAGAGAAAUCACUGCUUUGUCCUGAGAACCAUAGGAAAUCAUUCGCUCUCAACUCUGUGAGGUAGAAGGUGGAAAAGGGGAGUAUUUUCUCCAUUUCAGAAAGGGUACAGCAGAAACAAAGAAAGCCAAAAGUUAAGCAGAUUUUUAAAUUCUGAUGGAUUAUCUAGCAUUUCUCUUUGCAGGCUAAGCGAUUUCGGAUCAACCACUUUAGCAAAUACUCUGCAAUUGUACUUACCCUGCCGUUCCGGAGUGAUCUCUCUCCUAAAGAAGGGCUUAAUUCGCCUUCAUUUUUCUUGUGUACAAACUACAUGGUGGCCAUAGCUGGAGCCUGGGUCUUCUGCACAGAACCUCUGGUGUGGGUCUUUACAAGACGGUCAGUGAAUUCCUGAGAGGGGGCCUUGGUGAACAUGAACAUGGUUUCUUUCCAGAGCUCAGGAUCAGACAGCUUUUCGGUCUUGCAGAUGCAUCCAAAGUGGCCUUGGCGAAGUUGCCCGGGAUGGCUAGGCAACCUCGUGGAGAUAGAGCAGUGGCACAUGAUGCCAGGGCCCGGAGCCGCGGGUGGGACGCAUCAGCACAGAGCUGCCGCGUCCAGUCACCUUACACGGAAUGGUGUGGGGCUUGCUGAUCUCGUUCUUCCCGGAGGCCUUGCUGCACUGCGACUAGAGAACUUGGCCAAGAAUGAUGGUCCACCACGGAUGUCAGGAGCUACCUCAUUGGAACAUUGAACACCGACCAAUGUAUCUGCUGUAAUCCCUGAUGGCAACAGAUGCCUUGAACCUGGUCUGCCUGCCAGGAUGGGUCUGCUUUUGCAUGGGCAUGAUCUUCAAAACCACAUCCUUGAAGGACGAUCCCAGGAGAACCUCAGUGAUCUGAUUCCUUGAUGGGCAGAUGGAAGAGAUAGGUCUCCUCCAGGGACCUGAACUUCAUGUGCUUGGCCAGACAACCUAGGCUGGUAGAGGCAUCCACUCUUCAUCCUUGGUCUUGCUGCCAUGAGUUCCUUGGCCUUGAUGGCUGCGGAGGCCGUGUGGCCUCCCAUCCCAGUGCCUCUGGAGGCACCAGUGUCAUCUGCCAUUUGGUGUUUUCUUGGAGAAGACCAACCUUGGGGGCUUUAUCUCCUUUUCUCACCCUUAUAAUGCCUCUCAGAAUUCACUAUCAGGGUUUUCCUACUGUACAACUUUCCAAAAUUAGCUGGAUUCUCCAAAUACAAUAGACCCCUUUAUCCACCAACCCCUGGUGGAUGCCUACUGAACACUACAAUGUUUUUUUCUGUAUGUAUAUAUGACAAAGUUUAAUUUAUGCAUAAGGCAUAGCAAGAGAUUAGCAACAAUAACAGAAUAAUUCUAACAAUAUACUGUAAUAAAAGUUCUAUGAAUGUG